rnacentral:pre_miRNA from 1 species
GGAAGUUAAGAAACUGUUUCUUAAUUUUUAACUAAAAAUACUAAGAACCGAUUUUUAAAUAAAGAUUUUAAGAAUUGAUUCUUAGCUUUUUUUUAGUUAAAAGUUAAAAAACAGUUUCUUAACUUUC